rnacentral:misc_RNA from 1 species
UUUCCGUAGGUGAACCCGCGGAAGGAUCAUUAAUGAGUUGUCAUGGGGUUCGAUGCUGGCAGCCAGUUUUUGGAUGCAUGUGCUUGCCCUAACAAUCAUCUUCUUCCAAACACCUGUGCACAUUUUUGAGGGAGUCUUGAGUUGGUUGCCGCUCUUGGGGGAUUUUCUCACAUUCCCUUAAAUCAUUAUACGCUAUUAACAAUGUUGAACGUGCUCUGUGCCGCAAGGCCAUUAAUAUAAUACAACUUUUAACAACGGAUCUCUUGGCUCUC